rnacentral:rRNA from 1 species
CCUACGGGAGGCAGCAGUGGGGAAUAUUGGGCAAUGGAGGCAACUCUGACCCAGCAACGCCGCGUGAAUGAUGAAGGCCUUCGGAUUGUAAAGUUCUGUGAUGGGGGAUGAACACAAUGAUGGUACCCCAAUAGCAAGCCACGGCUAACUACGUGCCAGCAGCAGCGGUAAUACGUAGGCGGCAAGCGUUAUCCGGAAUGACUGGGCGUAAGGGGUGCGUAGGUGGUUUAGUAAGUUGGCGGUGUAAUUCCGGGGCUCAACCUCGGCGCUACCGCCAAGACUAUUAGACUAGAGUGCAGGAGGGGUAAGUGGAAUUCCUAGUGUAGCGGUGGAAUGCGUAGAUAUUAGGCGGAACAUCAGGGGCGAAGGCGACUUACUGGACUGUAACUGACACUGAGGCACGAAAGCGUGGGGAGCAAACAGGAUUAGAUACCCUUGUAGUC